ensembl:snRNA U6 U6 spliceosomal RNA
GUGCUCGCUUCGGCAGCUCAUGUACUAAAUUUGUAACCAUACAGAGAUUAGCAUGGCCCCUGUGCAAGGAUGACGUGUAAAUUCGUGAGACGUUCCAUAUUUUU